AGGAGCUUGGAGAUCUUGUGAAGACAGCUGAUACUGACCUUGCUCUCAAGAUAUACAUCAAAGCUAGAGCGAUUCCUAAAGUUGUAGCAGCAUUUGUAGAGAGGAGAGAAUUUGAUAAGAUUUUGAUAUAUUCAAAGCAGGCAAGGUUGAAUGAGAUAAUAACUUCAGGAGCCGACUUCUCACAAUAAUGGAUCACCUGAAUAUUUGUGGAUGGUUAAUGGAGCUGGACUUUCUCCUAAUGCAUCCGGGUGGAGUUAACUAAGAAGGUUACCGAACAAGUGAGGCUUCUAGCUAAAGAUGAAGAUGAAAAACUUGCAGAAACAAGUUCCUACGAUGUCUUCCCUCCAUAUGAUCAAGCUAAGGCUCUGGGAAAGACCAAUAUUGAUG